ACAUACCUGAGUUCAUCAUGACCCCCUGGGCAAUUAGUUCUCAGUCUUUUAUGGAGGUAACAUCAUUUGUGUCCAGCCCUACUUCAUUAGUUUGUUUUUUAAAUAAUUUUGUUAAUUAACAACUCAAAAGUAAAAGCUGAUUGUGUGUACCCACUUGUUUUUGUGGAUUGGGAGAGCAGGUUUUCAGAGAAAUACUCAGAAAUACCUGAACGAAUCAAAAUAACAUUUUGGGGUAAUUUUUUGUGAAGAAUGAACAUUAUAAUGCACUUAAAAGCUCCAAAAGGUAUAUAUGAUAGGGUAUAGAGCAGGGGUCCCCAAAUCCAGGCCUCCUGGAGGGCCGGUGUCCUGCUGGUUUUACAGAUACCCUGCCUUAUUUGCUGUUGAUUACCUUGAUCAGGUGUGUUUGGCCAAUAAGGAGCUUCAAUGGCAGUUUGGUUGGAAAACAUGUAGACCGCAUUUCCAAACCUCGUUUGAACAUAGCAACACAGAAGAACAACAUGUCAAACCUUUGUUCACUUUAAAUGUAAGACAGGGUAAUAAACCAGAAUAACAGGUGACACUGCAGAGGUGCGGUUUACUAACAAGUUUAGGUUUUGGAGUCAAAAAUCAUCGCCAAAAAGAUACAGUCAUUCUGUAUCUAAGCUUUUCCAUUUAAGUAACACAAGCAGUGUAAAAAUCAAUGUUGCACCUUUUAGCAGAUAGCAUUUCCAUGCACUAAUUACCAGAUUAGUUAUCAUCUUUCAACGCUGUUUAGAAAACAUGAGCUGCAAAGCCUCUAGCCCCGUGCAUUGUCAGGACUUUCCCAAUCUGAUGACUUUACACCAACGUGUCAUCCAUCCUUUCAUCCUUUUUGUCAUGGUUGUAGAUGCUACUAGUGGUGCAUAACAUUCAGAAUCUUUCCAAAUCCCACUCUGUCCCUGCAGCUGCAGCUUCUUGUGAGCUUUGCCAAAUCUGAAAGUUGAAAACCCAGCCUGCUCCCCCACAUUGUACGCAUGUGUGUGUAUAGCCACCGGUCCCAGUCUGCACUGCAUCACCUCAUGUGUGCCUGUAAGACUGUUGCACACAUAUGUGUGUGUGUUUGUUUGGGGGGGGGGGGGGGGGGCAAUGGAUACAAAGGGUACGGGGUAAUCACAAAGCAACAACUGCCUGUUCACCUGAUGAAGGUGUGGGAACAACUCUGCUGUUUCGGGGCAGACUUGUCAGUGACUGUGAUCCCUCCCCUCUCUUCUCCCUUCUUCUCCUGUUCUUCCUCUUUCCCUCAUGCCUUCCUUCCUCUCAUUUCAUCACCACAGAGGGGAAAAAGAUGGAGCAUUUCGUCUGCCGGAGGUGAAAAGAACUCGUUGAGUGACAAGUCAACUCCAGAGGACCAGAGCUCCUGGGACAGCUUCAAGACCAUGACCCCGGAGCUGUCCAUAGUUCCUGGCGAGCAGAAGGACCGCCUGGAACUGCACAAUAAGAACUGGGACUCGUCCUCAGCUAAUACGCCCGACUCGUCCGAGGGAGACUUCCAGACUGAAGUGUGAAGCCUGACGUACACACUCACACUUUAUCACACACAGAAGCUCACGUGGAGAUGCAAAUGCACAACGAGAAAGUGGACUCCUGAAAGACCAAGCAAGGGAACAUGACGGUAUUUUUUCGUUUUUGCAAGGACCUGUCUCGCUGGGCUCCCCGUCUCCGUCAGGCGCACUUUGUCGGAUCCCAAACUGUUUACUGCUGGAGCGGACAGACGCGGGAGGGGGACGAUGUUGUAGUCUAUAUUUUCUCAAAGACUAUCGAAAAAGGAAGAACAGGGCCUGGAUACAUCUGUGACUUGAGACGAUUUUAAAUGAACCCUAAAAUAAGAAGAAAGUAUGAAAAACUUUUUUUUUUUUUUUUGAAAAAUAUGUCUUGAUUUUAUUCUGGAGGGAAAAAAAGGAAAAUCUCUUUGAAUUGUUUGACUUUGGGAGGGAGGUGUGUGUGUCGGUGAUGGGGGAGAAGAAUAUUUCUGCACCAUUCAGUUCUUUUUAUAGAAAGAGGAACAGAUCUCACAGAGGUUUCUCACAGUUGCCCCCAAGCAACCCGCUUUCAUUAGUUUCUUUCAUCUCGCUAAUGGAUGACGAAAGCAUUCUUGUCUUUCCAUGUGGUCUUCAGUCUGUCUCAUCAAGAGAGUGAAUGGGGGGGUGGAGAUGUCUAGGGACAGAUUUGCUCGCUGAUAUGUGCCAUUCUCUUUUCUUCAGGUUCCUGCCGUUCAUUUCUCUCAUUCCUGUGUCAACAUUUUCUUUCAUUUUUUAUUUCUUCCUGCAAAUGUCAAAAAAGAAGACAAAAAAAGAGGCACCUGAAAGAAACGACUACAGCGAUUUGUGGUCUGCGCUCCAAUUGUUCACAAGAAGCUCUUUCAUUUUUAGGCUGCUUUGGUUUGUGCUUGUGCUGCUUAUUUCCACCACUUGUUCUUGUUCCUUUCUGUUCUCAAAGAGAACCGAGUCACGAGGAACUUGAAAUAAAAAAAUAAAAAAUAAAAAAAAAAAAACACACACACACUUCUAACCGCACAUGAGCUGUCCUUCCAAGGUUAUGUGCGGAAAAAAAGGAAAUCCAAGCAUUUUUCUGCCUUUUUUUUCUCUCUACCUCCAGAAGAUAAAUGCGUUUAAAGAUUGCAGCUCCUGAAUCCAUUUUAGCCAUCACCUGUCAGUCACAGCGACACCAGAGAAGUCUGUUCCAGUCAUUUUUGUCUGAUCCCUGAACAGCAUGCCACUAUUGAUCAGUUUACCCCCCCCCCCCCCCCCAUUUACGGGUUGACGGCUAGAGCCACCAGUUGAUGAUUUGUGAAAAAUAAAUUUCAUCUUAAACAUGAAGUGCUACAACUAUGCUUCUUUGGGAGGAAAAAAAAAAAAACCGCCUCACCCUUUUUCUCUGUCACUCCAAAGCAUGAAAUCUUAAUGCCAACAGCAGAGUCAGACGUGUAAUUCCAUGUUCACAUGGAUUUCUCUGUGUGUGAUUAUAUCACGCGUCUGUGAGCACAGCAGCUGCAGAAGAGGAGCAUGAAAUAGAAAGUAAGAGCGGGGAUUCACAGAGGUUAGAGGGAUACACUGUGUCAGAUUCAGGAAGAGCUGACAACGAUGCUUCCUGCUUGACAUUCAACGUCCGUCCUGCAGUUGUUACAGAUGAUGCCUUCCCCCACUGUUAUGCUGCGUUCACACCAGCCAUGUCGCAGGUUCAGGAACGCGCUAAACGUACCUGCUGGCUCCAAAAAACCCAGAAAUGUCAAUAGAACAAAAAAGUAAACAGGUAUUACUCUGUCAUUGUAUUUAUCAGAAUGACCAUCCAAGCUUUUUUAAAAGUUGUUCUUGCUUAUCCCUUUUUUUUCAUGAUAAAAUUUGUCCUUAUUGCAUAUUAUUGAAGUUGUAAACUGGCCAAUCAGAUGCCUCACUAAAAGCUUGUGGUGCCCGCUGGCCCCCACCUCGAACUUUUAAAACGUUUGACAGAUACUGUCGAACCUGCUUUCAGUGAAAGGGGUGACGACUUCGAAUAAGCUCACUCCUGCCUGGCAACAGCAGUUGCCAUGGAAAGAUCAACUUGGACCAAUUACUUGUGGCUCCCAAUGGCGGCGUCUGUAUUGCGAAAAAAAUGGCGACUGAAUUGACUUUUCUUGGAGUUGGAAGCAAGUCAUUUUCUAUGGGUGAUGUCACUCUCACUCUGUCCAGUUCUCUUAUACAGUCAAUAGUAACUAGCCUAUAUUAGUGGACGCACCUGCAUUUUGAAGAGACUUGGUGCAAAAUGUUGUAGCGGUGCUAAUCUUGUGAAUCUUCCCCCAGACUUUUUUUUCUUUCACAGCUCUAUUCUGAGACGUGAAAGACUUGGUAUCAUAUAAUUCCAAACUGCAAUUACUAAUUCCUCCUUCACGAUCAAUGUUCAAACGGGGCAGUGAAUCAACGAGAACGCCAUCUGUACCUCACUGCCAAAUCCGAGUCCCUGAUUGUUCAAAUUAGGUUGUGUUAAGUGACUUCGCUUUUUGGGCCCAAAAAGAGCCCAAAACCUGGCCUAAAGACUUGCGUAGUAACAUGUGAGUGCAGGAGUUUUGAGAACAGAAGCCUGGAUUGCAUAUUUAAACACACUUUUUAUGGAAAGUGGUCACUUAAAAGUGCACUGAGGCUGGUGUGAAAGUAGCAUAACAGUGUUUGGACAUCAGUCAUCCUAACUGACUGUGCAGGAUGAUUGCAGCAAGAGCCUUGAGAAGUCCUAGGUGAACAUUUCAGUCUAAAUAAAAAGACAGUUUCUGGAGCUUGAGGGAAACUUAAGAAAACAAGGCCAAGACACAAUAGCCAGGCAGAAACGCAGGAGAAGUGGACAGCUCAAAACAGCAAUUAUCCAGGGAAGGCGAUUUGUCCUGACAUUUUCCAUUGCAGCCCUCAAACCAUCUGUUUAAAGAUCCCUAAUGUGGUAGUAGAGCAGCGCAGCGCAGAUGGUGAGACAAGAGUGGCGCCCUUGUAACCUUUCAAGCUAAUCAGCUGAUAGGCAAACCUACAGCUUGCUCUGUCCUAAAGGAACGAGAUUGGUUUGAUCCCAAGUUUUAGAGCUAAGGUCACAUUCACCUGACCUUCUGUGAGACUCCGCACCCAGAUCCACUGAAUAAAAGCAGCAGUCUGGCAGCUACACUCAGUAGGUGUUACUCCACAGCCAUUUUUAUUUUUUACCUUACAGCUGUAAGAGAUUCAUUUGGAGGGAAAACAAAGUCCUGUUCCCAUGGUAACCGAUAAAAUAGAUCUAGAGAAAGGGAGAACUACAUGUUUUGGUUUGCUGUGUGACAUUUUGCUGCAUUCUUUUUUAUGAGUUUGAAGUUUUGAUCUCCAAGAAUGGUAAGUGAAAUCCUGUUGACUGACUGAAAUCCUCUUCUCCCGUUAUCGGUUGUAAUGCUUACUUAUAACACACAAGGAUCAGAAAGUCGGCAUGUCAGCUUGUCGUGUCCAUUUCUCUGUUGGAAGCUUGCCAACGUCAGCAGCCUAAAAAAUAAUUUGAGAUGCAUAAAAGGUCAAAUUUACAACAGUACUUCACGUCCUUCACUUUCCGACCCUCGACCUUUGAUGCUUAACUUGUUAACCAGCUUCUUCAACCAUCCAUAACUCAAGUUGACUUAUUAUUGACAACAAAACCCUCCUUUUCUCCUUCAUUUUUUUUUUUAUACAUAAAAUUGUGCAAAGUAGUCCUCUAAUGUUUUCAUAGUGUCUUUUUAUAUGAAAAUAAAUUUUCAAACCAAUGCUCUGCGUCUCUUGUGCUGUUUCAAGGGCAUCUGUUGAAGAGCUCUAGUUUUGGACUGUUUUUGCAAUCCCGUGUUUUCAUCAUAUCACCCUGGGAGUCGACCAUAACAAACUCUGUUACCCAGAAGCAUCGGAGCUUGACUGUAACCAAUCAAAGCUCCUGCUGCUCUGAAGAUGUUAGAGGAACAGCUCGGUGAGCUUCAAGAUUUAUUCUUUUGGUAUAAUCAAAGGGGGAAAUAUCAAGUCAAAGUGAUAAUUUUGUUAAAAAAUAUACAGAGCUCGGCCAACGUUUACAGUAUGUUUGUGAAAAAUAUUUUUUUGGAAGAGGUUACUGUAAAAGUAGGUUUGUUAUGUAAAGAAAUACAGCUAUAGAAAAAUGGACCCUAUGUGUUUUUAUGUAAAAAAAUAUUAGAACAUUUAUCACAAAUCAAAAAGUGUGACCGUCAAAUGUUAAGAAGCGGAUGCCAAAAGAACAG
rnacentral:lncRNA from 1 species